rnacentral:lncRNA from 1 species
CCAGGGAGUUACAAAGCUUCAUAAGUUUCUCGGAAUGUGUAUUGGAGAAAAAAUAACAGAGUCUGGCUAAAGAGAUGAAGAGCUCAUGAGGGCGUGUCUCAAUUUAAACAAGAGUAGCAUUGGCAAUUGUUGUCCUUAGCAGCAGCCGACAAGGCGGAAUUGGAAUGGUGCUGCUCCUGACUACCUCUACUCCACGCUAGGCUUAGGGGCUGGAGUGACCCAAGCCCUCAGGGUAAGAAAAGUCCGAUUUAGAACCUAGGACCUGAC